UACGUAGGGUGCGAGCGUUGUCCGGAUUUAUUGGGCGUAAAGAGCGUGUAGGCGGCCAGACAGGUCAGCUGUGAAAACUCGAGGCUCAACCUCGAGACGUCGGUUGAAACCGUCUGGCUAGAGUCCGGAAGAGGAGAGUGGAAUUCCCGGUGUAGCGGUGAAAUGCGCAGAUAUCGGGAAGAACACCCGUGGCGAAGGCGGCUCCCUGGGCCUUACCUGACGCUGAGGAGCGAAAGCUAGGGGAGCAAACAGG
rnacentral:rRNA from 1 species